rnacentral:lncRNA from 1 species
CACCCCGAAUAUGACUCUGGAUAUGGAAUGAUGUCAAAUCCAAUAUCAUACUCAUAUUUUUCUUAAUCUUAUAUGAUGAUUCAAUUAAUAAAAUAUUAGAAAUUCUUUCUAAUUUUUAUUCUGUUUUGAUCAAAGGCUUCCUGAAUCAUCAAUCGAUCAGAACAAGUAGGAUGCAAUUUUCUCUUACCAGGAGUGAUCGAUUCCAUGUUGACCUACUCACAACUUCCAUACAUAUUCUACCAUAUCUAGAAC